UCCUACGGGAGGCAGCAGUGGGGAAUCUUAGACAAUGGGCGCAAGCCUGAUCUAGCCAUGCCGCGUGAGUGAAGAAGGCCUUAGGGUCGUAAAGCUCUUUCGCCAGGGAUGAUAAUGACAGUACCUGGUAAAGAAACCCCGGCUAACUCCGUGCCAGCAGCCGCGGUAAUACGGAGGGGGUUAGCGUUGUUCGGAAUUACUGGGCGUAAAGCGCACGUAGGCGGAUUAGAAAGUAUGGGGUGAAAUCCCAGGGCUCAACCCUGGAACUGCCUCAUAAACUCCUAAUCUAGAGUUCGAGAGAGGUGAGUGGAAUUCCGAGUGUAGAGGUGAAAUUCGUAGAUAUUCGGAGGAACACCAGUGGCGAAGGCGGCUCACUGGCUCGAUACUGACGCUGAGGUGCGAAAGUGUGGGGAGCAAACAGGAUUAGAUACCCUGGUAGUCCACACCGUAAACGAUGAAUGCCAGUCGUCGGAUAGUAUACUAUUCGGUGACACACCUAACGGAUUAAGCAUUCCGCCUGGGGAGUACGGUCGCAAGAUUAAAACUCAAAGGAAUUGACGG
rnacentral:rRNA from 1 species